rnacentral:rRNA from 1 species
AGAUGAGUUCUCCCUGACUCCUUGAGAGUCCUGAAGGAACGUUGAAGACGACGACGUUGAUAGGCCGGGUGUGUAAGCGCAGCGAUGCGUUGAGCUAACCGGUACUAAUGAACCGUGAGGCUUAACCUUACAACGCCGAAGCUGUU